CACCGGCUUCUGAGAGCAAGCCUCAAAACUCGUGGUGAGGACUGGACAAGGUGGUCUGCCCUCAAAUACAUGCCUUUAGAUGAGUGUGGUGUUUCUCUUUCUCCCAAAGCAAAUCAACUGGGAGGGAACAUUUUCAUGAGUUAGUGUGGUUAUGGUAUCUAUGAUAUAGUCCAUUUCUCCACAGCUUGGCCUCAGCCAACAGAGUUUCUGGGACAUUGUGAUACCCACACAUCUUCUCCUAGCAAGGACCGUGCUGAAGAUAGCCCUGGUGAGUCAUCAUUUCUUGGAGAAACAAGCCAAGAUACACCUUAGAACCAGCAUCACAUCCCAUGAAAUUGUGGCAGCAAAAACACCCAGCCUCUCUGGAUGCCUUUUUCCAGUGGUGAACUUUAGAGUUAAUCCUUUAGGGGCUGCUUGUCUGGCCUUUUCACCCCUAGAGUCCCCAUCCUGGCCUAGGAGAGUCACUUCCAGUGGGUCUCUCCACUGAGUGGGGGAUCUUUGAGGAAUACCAGCUUUCUCCAGUGCCCUCUGGACUCUCCAUGCCAGAGAUAAAGUUCUGACACCUGGACAAGGCUCAAAAGCACCAGAUUGUUUAUUUGACGUGUACAAUGCAAGCAGAAGCCAUCUCAUUAAAAACAGCAGUUACAACAAAAGAAGCAGUUGUGCUGAUCGCCACCACAUGCCACAGGGCUAAGGGCUGCCCGAGGAGUAACUCUAAACCUUCAUCUCAGCCUCAUCCAUGAGGCCGUCUGAACAGCCAGGAGAGCCAGUCCUGCUCUCUGGAUGCCCUACAGGGGGGCCAUCUGACCCUGGAGCUGUAUAGGCAAGUACUGAGCCCCAAGCUUAGCCCUUCCUGGAACUGUUGAAGUUCAUCCCAAAAAGCCACCAGGUGGAAGAGGAAAGAGUAGAACCUUGGGAAUUUAACAAAAGCAAGUUCAAAUCUCAAGUCUACUGUUUCCCAGAAGUGUGGCCCAGAACAAGUCAUUAAACUUCUCAGCACCUUGGCUUCCUCAUCUGUAAAAUACAGAAAAUAAUGCAGGAGCUGCUUCUAGGGAUGUUUCUGAAGGUUGGAUAUACUGUCACACUUGUCUGCCAUGUUUAUUUCCAUCCUAGGAGAAGGCAUGUGGUGGGAGGGGAGGGGUUUGAAGGCUGAGUAUGUGAACAUAAGGAGAUCCAGGAGAGAGGGCAUUGCAUCAGCAGCCCUUUCUGCACCAGAGCAUUCAGUUCUGCACCAGUGCUGGGAUGCAGGUAAGGACAGGAGCCCUGCCUCGCCAAUGGUCAGUCAAUGACCCUCCUGCUCAAUAUCCGGAGGGGACAACAGAUAAGUGUGGGGAGAUGUGAGGCAACAUGAGAGAGUGUAAAUGCAGACAAUCCAUCAUGGUGCUUCUGGGCUUCAUUAAAGUGACUCCAACCCAUCAAGUACAUUCCUGUCACAAGGCUGAGGCCAGAGCUAUCCUUAGAACCACAAAUUUGAAACCAAUCCAUUUAUUUCAACAUCUUGGUCAAAAUUAAUCACCAAAAUAAAUCUGUGUACAUAUCAAGGUUAUUAAAAUUGCCUAUAGUUUUACACCCAGGAAAUUUUACUCCGUAGCAUUUUCUAGAGGAAAUAAUCAGGGACCCACUCCAAGAUGUAUGUAUAAAACUGAUUUUCAACCCAGCAUCAUAUAUAAAAUGAACCAAUAUCUGGAAACACCAUAAAAGCCUGAAGUUAGGAGGCUGAUUUGUAAAAUCUUCCUAUAUACCUCCAUAUGGAGGAAUACUACACAGUUAUCAAAAAUGUAGAGUGCUGGUAUAUCAAGUCACAUGACAAAGCACAUUGCAAGUCAGCAAAUGGCCCAAAAUUUGUAAAAAUUUGCUAUAUUGGCAGACAUAUUCAGAUCAUACUUGAUGAAUAACUACAGAUCAUCAGUGGUUUCCCUCAGGCCAGAACUUAAUGGCAAAAAUGCAGGGGUGAGGGGAGAGGCUGUGGGUUAAAUCCUGACUCCUUCACUUCUCAGAGCAACACUGGAGAAGUCACUUCGCUUCUCUGUGCCUCUGUUUCCUCGUAUUAAGCAAGAGGUUGCUCGUGUCCCUUCUUCCUGGAGGUUUGACUCACGUACAAAUAGAGUCAUGGUUCUUGACAGCACAAGGCAUCCAGCAGGCACUCGUAAAUGUCAUCUUUUGUUACGAGUUAUUAUUUGAACGAUUCCCUAUUUAAUCUUUCUAUUUUGUACAUGGAACUGUCUGACUCAUAUAAUCAUGGGAACGAAAUAUUUUUUAAUCCAUUUCAGUCAACGAGAUGAACUCAAUGAAGAGAUGAGUGAGAACUAUUUUGCAAUAAUUGACACAACAUCUGCUAUUUCUAGAACAAAAUCAAAUAAAAUACA